GAGGGAGGAGAUACUGAAUCACAGGAUGCUGUGCACAGUGCUGCCCUGUGAUCUGCUGACAGCAGAUCUGAGUGGAUGGAGGCAUAUUAUGCCUCUAUCAACUCCGAAGUCCCUCUGGUUCACUCUGAGUGACUGCAACUGGAGGUGUUCCUAGCUUUCAAUGUAAACACUGUAUUUUCACAGAAAAUACAGUGUUUACAUGAGAAAGGCUGCAGGGAGCUAUAGUUCUCACCUGAACAACCUCAUUAAGCUUAAGUUGUUCAGGUGACUAUAG